rnacentral:rRNA from 1 species
UUCUUUGGAGAGUUUGAUCCUGGCUCAGGACGAACGCUGGCGGCGUGCCUAAUACAUGCAAGUCGAGCGCAGGAAAUCGACGGAACCCUUCGGGGGGAAGUCGACGGAAUGAGCGGCGGACGGGUGAGUAACACGUAAAGA